UACAGAGGGUGCAAGCGUUAAUCGGAAUUACUGGGCGUAAAGGGUGCGUAGGCGGUCGGGUAAGUCGGAUGUGAAAUCUCAGGGCUCAACCCUGAAACUGCAUUCGAUACUGCUUGGCUAGGGUACUGGAGAGGAGACUGGAAUUUACGGUGUAGCAGUGAAAUGCGUAGAUAUCGUAAGGAAGACCAGUGGCGAAGGCGAGUCUCUGGACAGUUACCGACGCUGAGGCACGAAGGUCAGGGGAGCAAACGGG
rnacentral:rRNA from 1 species